CAGUAGCCGCGGUAAUACGUAGGUGGCAAGCGUUGUCCGGAAUUAUUGGGCGUAAAGCGCGCGCAGGUGGUUUAAUAAGUCUGAUGUGAAAGCCCACGGCUCAACCGUGGAGGGUCAUUGGAAACUGUUAAACUUGAGUGCAGGAGAGAAAAGUGGAAUUCCUAGUGUAGCUGUGAAAUGCGUAGAGAUUAGGAGGAACACCAGUGGCGAAGGCGGCUUUUUGGCCUGUAACUGACACUGAGGCGCGAAAGCGUGGGGAGCAAACAGGAUUAGAUACCCGUGUAGUCCCUGUCUCUUAUAC
rnacentral:rRNA from 1 species